AUAGUCUCUCUCUUUAUCCUGCUCCGUCCGCCUCCCUCUCUCUCUCUUCGUAAGUCUCACCCAUCACCCUAAUCUCCUUCCAAUGUUUGGAGCUAAUUACGAUUUCAUGUUCUAUUUUACUUUCCAAUAGGGAUUCUCUCACACAUUAAUCUAAGCUCAUUUAUGCCCUAGUUUUUUCCCUUUUCACUCUUCAUCAUCUCUCAAAUCACAAAGACCCAAUAUUGUAGCUGGGGAUGAUGAACGGUUUCAAUUGAUACCAAAUCCACUUUCUAAUCUGGACUAGAUUUAUUCUUCUACUAGCAGCGCCCAUUGAAGUCUACAACUGUUCUAACUAGGCCCGACUCUUUCAAGGAAUCACUUUCUAAAGCCCAACAUCUUGGUUCUUUUCUUGGGAGGUCCGACCAUAUGGAUAGCCCAGCUGGGUGUACAAGUCCUAGCGGCCAUAAUGAUAAGGCUAAGGAAACAGGCGAAACUCAACUAUAAAGUGGAACAGUGGCCACUCGACUGACUAUCAUGAACGAAAGUGAGGGAAGGAGUUCCGAUUGGAUCCCUUAGGAGAGAGACGGGUGCCAUCUUAGAUUCCUCUUCCCACCAUAUGAUUCUUGUACAUGAUCUAGUGAUUCAAUUGUGCUAUUCUGUUACAGUCUCCAGCACUAUUGAGGAGUGAAGAUUAGUAUCGACAGUUGUUUUGUCUUCCACCUGAUGAAGAGGAGGUCUUUGGUGUGGGGUGCGUUGGUGGAAUUAUGAACAAGAUAAAUUAUUGAUCUUUAUAGCAUCAUUGGCGCGUAUGUAUUUUGACUAAGAUGGCCCCCAUUGGUUUUGUUGGCACUAAUCCCAAAUGCUUACUUGGUUUUAACAAGGCAUUAGCCUCUCUAUGCACAAACAUUUGUUGGACUGUUAUAUGUACUUUCCCUUGCUAAGUCUUAUUUUUGCGGAAGUGGAUUUGCAUGUGUAGAUGUGAGUCUAUGAUUCUUUCUAUGUAUAGUCAAAUGGUUCUUGUGGUUUUGUGUUUUAAAAUACUUUAGUUAUUAGCUGAAAUUGAGAUUGAGUUGGAUUGAGUUGAACUCAUUUAAUUUGUAGUUUUAAAGGAACUCAUACUAUUAUUUUUUA